GAACGAACGCUGGCGGCAGGCCUAACACAUGCAAGUCGAACGCCCGUAGCAAUACGGGAGUGGCAGACGGGUGAGUAACGCGUGGGAACGUGCCCUUCGGUUCGGAAUAACUCAGGGAAACUUGAGCUAAUACCGGAUACGUCCGUAAGGAGAAAGAUUUAUCGCCGAAGGAUCGGCCCGCGUCGGAUUAGCUAGUUGGUGAGGUAAUGGCUCACCAAGGCGACGAUCCGUAGCUGGCUGAGAGGAUGAUCAGCCACACUGGGACUGAGACACGGCCCAGACUCCUACGGGAGGCAGCAGUGGGGAAUAUUGGACAAUGGGCGAAAGCCUGAUCCAGCCAUGCCGCGUGAGUGAAGAAGGCCUUAGGGUUGUAAAGCUCUUUCAGCGGGGAAGAUAAUGACGGUACCCGCAGAAGAAGCCCCGGCUAACUUCGUGCCAGCAGCCGCGGUAAU
rnacentral:rRNA from 1 species